GGCGGCGAGCGGCGAACGGGUGAGUAAUGUAUCGGAACGUACCCAGUCGUGGGGGAUAACUAUCCGAAAGGAUAGCUAAUACCGCAUACGUCCUGAGGGAGAAAGCGGGGGAUCGCAAGACCUCGCGCGAUUGGAGCGGCCGAUAUCGGAUUAGCUAGUUGGUGAGGUAAAGGCUCACCAAGGCGACGAUCAGUAGCUGGUCUGAGAGGACGACCAGCCACACUGGGACUGAGACACGGCCCAGACUCCUACGGGAGGCAGCAGUGGGGAAUAUUGGACAAUGGGCGCAAGCCUGAUCCAGCAAUACCGCGUGUGUGAAGAAGGCCUGAGGGUUGUAAAGCACUUUCAAUGGGGAGGAACACCUGUCGUCAAUACCCGGCAGCUUGACAUUACCCAUAGAAGAAGCACCGGCUAACUCCGUGCCAGCAGCCGCGGUAAUACGGAGGGUGCGAGCGUUAAUCGGAAUUACUGGGCGUAAAGCGUGCGUAGGCGGUGCGUUAAGUCAGAUGUGAAAGCCCUGGGCUUAACCUGGGAACGGCAUUUGAAACUGGCGCACUCGAGUUGGGUAGAGGGGAGUGGAAUUUCAGGUGUAGCGGUGAAAUGCGUAGAUAUCUGAAGGAACACCAGUGGCGAAGGCGACUCCCUGGACCCGAACUGACGCUGAGGUACGAAAGCGUGGGUAGCAAACAGGAUUAGAUACCCUGGUA
rnacentral:rRNA from 1 species